CUGCGUAGGUUUUGCACCUGUUCAAUCCUCUAACUUCUAAAGCGUCCUAAUUUUUUAAAAACAGAUUUCUCCAAGUAUAAUAUACAUCUUCCAGAAGAGCACCCCGGUAAACGCACGACUCUGAGGCCGAAUGUGUAUGCACAGCGGGAGACAGUCCCCCGAAAGAUACUAAGGAACGUCCCGGGACACGUUCGGUGGACAAGCUGCACUGGUUGGCGGAGAGGCCCAGUAGCUGCAGAGGUGUCUGCGCUGAAUGGGGCAACUUGAACGAACCCCAGUACCUAGAGGACCAAGGCUGUUUCUCGAGUGGCAACACAAACCCCGGCCGAUCCUGCAAAGAUGGACUGGCCCCAUGACUUUCGGAGGACAGGAAGUCCCAGUGGGUGUAACGACUCUGGUUCAGGCAGGAGAGGACGUCUGACUCUGCUGGGCCAGCGUCUCCUCCAGGAUGUGGGCCUGAAUUUUACCUUCCUAUCUGGUCUGGUCUGUGGGGGCGCCCUUCUUCACCUCCAUUUCACAUAUGCAUAGAAGGACAGAAGGCCUUAGGGGACGGAGAAGCUGGACCAGUGCCCCCUCAGCCUAUUCUUCUACAGCUACUUCCUCCCACUCCACCGUCUGCCAGGGGACUCCUCGCCCUGGGUUCCUCAGGUCCCUGCUGGCUUCAGAAUCUUGCCAGCAGAAUCCUGGUAACUGGCCUUCCUGACACACUGACAUCUGGACAAUAGACUUGGUCAGACAGUUCUCCAAGACAUGCAAACAGCCGGCAAGCAAGUGGAAAGAGGCAAACCCCAACCACAGCGAACCAGCGGUCCACACCCACGAGGCGGUGGCUAUAACCAAAACGACGAACCACAACACAAACUGGACCCCCAGGCGCUGCUGGUGGGAAUGAGAGGGAGCAGCCUCUGUGGAAAACACUCCUAAGUUCCUCAAGAAGUUAGCCAGAGCGACCACAUGGCCAGUAAUUCACUCCCAGGCAUACGCCCAGAGAUGAAAUGUAGGUACAUGUGUGUGCACGUACGCGCACGCGCACACAGAGUAUUCAUGCAGCAUUGUCCACAAUCGCCAAAAAACAGCCCAAAUGUCCAUCAACUGACAUGGCUCAAAACAAAAGGUAACUUACCCACACAAUGGGAUGCCAAGUUGUGGCCCGGGACAUUAAGGCGCAGAGCGCGCACCCUGCUGUGGAGGAAAGGCUCCCCGCAAACCUCCUGCUGAGUCAGUGACAUCAAAGGUCUAAGAUCAUGGGACUCCAUCUACAUGAGCUGCCCAGAGGAGGCAAACCCAUAGAAGGCAGAUUCAUGGCUGCCAGGGACCAGGAGUAAUGGGGAGAGUGGGCAGUGAUGGCGAAGGGGUGCAGGGGGAUGGUGGCACAACUCAAGAGGACGCGGAGCUCCCGACUGCACGUCUUAAAUCAUGAGUGUCGUACUAGGCGAAUUAAGUUUCAAUGAAACAUACUGCUCUCCAAGAUCCCCGCUCCUCCUGCACCCUGGAACCCCCAUACCUCACAAUGCCUGCUCCGGCACUCUCAGUAGUGAUCCCAGCAGCACAGUGGGAACAGAGGCAUUGGGCGGCACAAGCCCCCAACUUGCCCUGAGCUCUUGGGGCUUCCUGCAGUGCUGAGGCCUUUCAACAGAGGAGGGGCAGGGAUGCCUGUACUCAACCCAAAGAGAGCGGUCUCGUAUGGUCCCAUCACACAUGCCCACUUCAGGGCACUUGGCAUGGAUGUGAUCCCGUCACCAAAAGGCCUGCCAAGGAGGCCUUGGCCUGGGUUCUACAUGCAGGCAGGUGGGGGGCAUCAAAAAGGCUCUGCCUAUAUAAAUAUUCAAAUAGAGACGGGUGGUCCUGAUGUGUGAUGCUUCUCACACAGAAGAGAGGGGAAGGAGGUAUCAGGGGUCAGGACAGGGUCUGGUUCCUGGAGGGGGGCACUGCUGUGUAAGGGAGACAAACAGGGCCCUGUGACAGUCUCUGAGCACAGCCUAAGCCUUGUGCCUGGCAAACGAGGUGACAGCAUGAAGAAGGCCAGGCAAAGCCCCUGUGGUAUCACCUCAGACACGACAAGCCGAGUAAGUCAUUGUCCAACCACAUGCUGAGACUGAUCGAUAUCAGCUCAUUCUCACACAGAGCCCUAAUCUAAUUGAUAAAUCUCUCUCUACCAUAACAUUACCUUUGUGUACUUUCUUCAGAUAAAGCUUAGCAUCCCACAGGAACUCAGCGGAUUUUAAUUUACACAUCAGAAGCGCAGCACCAAAGGUUUAAACCCACUGUUUUAACUCUCUGCAAUGAGCUUUUUCCCAAAUGAAAUCCCCUGGGGGCCCCUAACACCUGGCCAUGCACACCUGCUCACAGGUCCCCUAGCUGGAGAAAC